AGCGAACGCUGGCGGCAGGCCUAAUACAUGCAAGUCGAGCGGCCCUUCGGGGCAGCGGCGGACGGGUGAGUAACGCGUGGGAACGUGCCCUUUGGUACGGAACAACUGAGGGAAACUUCAGCUAAUACCGUAUGUGCCCUUCGGGGGAAAGAUUUAUCGCCAUUGGAGCGGCCCGCGUUAGAUUAGCUAGUUGGUAGGGUAACGGCCUACCAAGGCGACGAUCUAUAGCUGGUCUGAGAGGAUGAUCAGCCACACUGGGACUGAGACACGGCCCAGACUCCUACGGGAGGCAGCAGUAGGGAAUCUUGCGCAAUGGGCGAAAGCCUGACGCAGCCAUGCCGCGUGAAUGAUGAAGGUCUUAGGAUUGUAAAAUUCUUUCACCGGGGGCGAUAAUGACGGUACCCGGAGAAGAAGCCCCGGCUAACUUCGUGCCAGCCGCCGCCGUAAGAC
rnacentral:rRNA from 1 species